GAUGCAACGGAUGGAAGUAGAAAACCCAAAUUAUGCUUUAACAAGCCGUUUUCGUCAAAUUGAAGUGCUUACUACUGUGGCCAAUGCAUUUUCUUCUUUAUAUUCUCAAGUCUCCGGGACUCCCCUGCAGAGAAUUGGAAGUAUGUCCUCAGUGACCUCUAACAAGGAGACAGACCCACCUCCACCUUUAACUCGAAGUAACACUGCAAAUCGUUUAAUGAAAACACUCUCAAAACUGAAUUUAUGUGUUGAUAAAACAGAGAAAGGAGAAAGUAGUAGUCCUUCUCCAUCAGCUGAAAAAGGAAAGAUUCUAAAUGUUUCAGUGAUUGAAGAAAGUGGCAAUAAAAACGAUCAAAAGUCUCAAAAAAUUAUGAAGAAGAAAGAGUCAUCUUCUAUGUUGGCUACAGUUAAAGAAGAAGUCUCUGGUAGUUCAGCAGCUGUUACGGAGAAUGCUGAUAGUGAUAGAAUUUCUGAUGAAGCAAAUAGUAAUUUUAACCAAGGAACUGAAAAUGAACAAAGUAAAGAAACUCAAAGUCAUGAGAGUAAACUGGGUGAGGAAUCUGGUAUUGUAGAAUCCAAAUUAGAUAGUGAUUUCAACAUAUCCAGCCACAGUGAGCUGGAAAAUAGCAGUGAGCUGAAAAGUGUCCAUAUAUCCACACCUGAAAAAGAGCCUUGUGCACCACUGACAAUACCAUCCAUAAGAAAUAUAAUGACACAGCAGAAGGACUCCUUCGAAAUGGAAGAGGUUCAAAGUACGGAGGGAGAAGCUCCUCAUGUUCCAGCCACUUACCAGCUAGGUCUUACGAAGUCGAAAAGAGAUCAUCUGUUACGUACUGCAAGUCAGCAUUCCGAUAGCAGUGGUUUUGCUGAAGAUUCUACAGACUGCCUAUCCCUUAAUCAUCUUCAGGUUCAGGAGUCCUUGCAGGCUAUGGGGAGUAGUGCUGAUAGUUGUGACAGUGAGACAACAGUUACGUCACUUGGUGAAGACCUUGCCACACCAACAGCACAAGACCAGCCUUAUUUUAAUGAAUCAGAGGAGGAGUCUCUUGUCCCUCUUCAGAAGGGACUAGAGAAGGCAGCAGCAGUUGCAGACAAAAGAAAAUCAGGUAGCCAGGAUUUCCCUCAGUGCAACACCAUUGAGAAUCCAGGAACUAAACAGUCCACCUGUAGUCCAGGGGAUCAUAUCACUGAAAUUACUGAAGUGGAAGAGGAUUUGUUUCCAGCAGAGACAGUAGAGCUACUGAGGGAAGCAAGUGCUGAAAGUGAUGUGGAUAAAAGCAGUGAAAGUGAAUUUACCCAGUAUACCACACACCAUAUUCUGAAAUCAUUGGCUUCUAUUGAAGCUAAAUGCAGUGAUAUGAGCUCUGAAAAUACAACUGGGCCUCCCUCUUCCAUGGACAGAGUUAAUACAGCUUUGCAAAGAGCUCAGAUGAAGGCUUGCAGUCUGUCUAAUCAAAGGAUGGGGCGUAGCCUGCUAAAAUCAAAAGAUUUGUUAAAACAAAGGUACUUAUUUGCAAAAGCUGGCUAUCCUCUAAGAAGGUCUCAGUCUUUACCAACCACCUUAUUGAGCCCAGUAAGGGUUGUGUCCUCUGUCAAUGUUCGAUUAUCUCCAGGAAAAGAGACCAGAUGCAGCCCACCUUCCUUCACCUAUAAGUACACACCUGAAGAGGAGCAGGAAUUGGAAAAGCAGGUGAUGGAACAUGAUGGUCAGUCUUUAGUUAAAUCGACCAUUUUCAUCUCUCCAUCAUCUGUGAAGAAAGAAGAAGCCCCCCAGAGUGAGGCGCCGCGGGUGGAGGAAUGCCAUCAUGGAAGGACUCCUACCUGUUCACGGCUUGCUCCACCACCAAUGUCUCAGUCUACCUGCUCCCUUCAUUCCAUCCACUCUGAGUGGCAAGAAAGGCCCCUGUGUGAGCACACAAGAACUCUGAGCACUCACAGUGUUCCCAACAUAUCAGGGGCUACUUGUAGUGCCUUCGCUUCCCCUUUCGGGUGUCCUUACUCACAUAGACAUGCCACCUACCCUUACCGAGUGUGCUCUGUGAAUCCUCCUUCAGCCAUAGAAAUGCAGUUGCGAAGAGUAUUACAUGAUAUUAGAAACUCACUGCAGAAUCUUUCACAGGUAUGAGAAAAAGUAUAUUAUCAUUAGCUUUUUUCUUUUACUGCUCUGAGCACUUUUUAAUUCACAGAGAAGCUAAGGCACAUCAAGUAUGAACUACCUCAGCUUUAUUUUCUGACAUGUCUAAACUUAAUCUGCAUCUGCCUUCCUUUUCUAUCUUCCCUCCUGUUUCAAGGGAGAAGCUGUAACUAACCCUGAUCAGUCGAUUUCUCUGCUCAUAAGUCUGUCUCCUUUCCAAGAGGAGAGAUUUUUCUCGUUAAGUAUCCUCCCAUUUUUACUCUAUCAUCCACUGUCUUUGUUUUAGUCUAGAAUCUUUUGUCAUUUCUAUUAUUAAAAAAUCUUCCCUCUUAAAGUUCUUUCUCUCUUUCUCUCUGCUAUUUGAACAUGUUGACUACCUUUUCCUUUUCCAAGUUUUCUCCCUGUUGGCUUCUGUGGCACCACGUUCUCCUGGUUCUGCUCGUAGCUCUCUGACUAAGCUUUCCCCUUCACCUACUGACCCUCGAUGCUGUGCACAGAGUUAGUCUACUUCCACUGGACUCAAAGACUGGAACUACUCCAGACCAGAAAAUAACAAAUCAGGUAAAGUGUGAAUUUGAUUUAAAAUGCUCUGUAUGUCUUGUCACUUUUAAAGUCAUUCUCAGAUUUGUUAGUAGACUGGAAAUAAUUUUCCCAAAAAAAUUUUGAAAAUAAGUACGUUGUCUUCAGUUUUGCCUUUUACAUUUUCUUGAACAUUCUCUCUGAAUGAAUCGUGUUUAGACAAUUGAGGGAUUGAAGAAAAUGACAAUGUAAUAUAGUCAUGAGAGCAUUCAACUAAGAGUCAGGAGGCCUAGAAUGAAUGUAAUAGACCUCUUAUCAUGACAUAGUAGACAGGGAGCCACUUGGAAAGUAAAAAUCAAAGGUGUAACUUCUCAAGUUAUAAUAAGAUAUACCUCCUCUUAACUGUAAGUUUUAUCCUCAUGACAAUUGUCCCCUAACAGUUUUCUGUUUAAACAGAAUGUGGGUGUUUCUUAUUCCUCCUUACAAAAUAUAGUUCUGUCUGUGAUGGAACUUGCAGCUGUGAUUAUGUCAAGCUGGGGAUUUCCAGGACCCUGUCCACCAGUACCGUGGUGCAUCUUUCUUUCUAGGCCACCUAGUUCUUCGGCUCCAGCUGUGGUCUCUUUCUCCUGGAUAUCCCAGCAAUAACUCAGCUAAUACAUCUCCCCAUGCCUACCCCACCCUACACUAGUGGACAGGUGCUUUCUAUGAUGUGGUCUCUGACUAUCUCUCCAGCCUCAUUCCUUAGCUGUAGGACUGUGCACAGGUCUCUAAACAGUUGUGUGUUCUUAGGUAUCUGCACAUGGCUGAUUUUGUGUUUUGUUUUGUUUUUCUAAAAUAAAAAGAUGAAGUUUCUGUUUCUCGCCCACGUGGAGUGCUGGAGACAGCGGUGUAAUCAUGGCUCCCUGCAGUCUUGAACUCCUGGGCUCAAGUGAUCCUCCUGCCUUGGCCUCCCAAAGUACUGGGACUAUAAGCCACUUUUUUUUAACCGAGAUCACCCAGCCUUUGCCUUUCUUUGCAUAAUCAAGCCGUAGUUACUGUUAAGGCUCAGUUCAAGUAGUGUUACCGCUUUUGGGAAAGUUCACGUAAUCUGAAUUUUUCUGUGUCCAUCAUAGCACUCCUUCCACAGUAUUAGAAUUUUUUUAAAAUUUCCUUUAUUUUUCUUUACACUGUGAGAACACCUGAAGGCUGGGAAUACCUUUUAUGUUUUUAUCUCACUGCCUAAAAUAGUGGCAUAUAGGAAAUGCUAAGAUGUCUGAGAAAGACGACAUUGAUUGCUUGCUCUCCAGCAAAGUUAAUAAUCACUAUAAUCUCAUGAUGAUAUUUGCAAUGGCUUCUACAUUUUUGCGUUUUGAUUUUGUUUUUUUUAGUUUCACAAGAGGGAAGUCCUGAAAGAAAUAGAUGUGAACUAUGUUCCUUCGCCUCCUCCUCCCACAUAGAUUGACUUAUACCUGGAACAGCUAGCAGUAUUAGGUGUCAUUGGGAACUGAUUUCUUUUUUCCUGCUUACAAUAUGAAGGUUUUUUGGAUCCUUUUGUCUUAAAGAGAAAAAUAUAUAGGCCCCAAAUUCUGCCUUUUAACCCCUUAAGUGAUUUGGAAGUAUUCACUUUAACAUUGGUUUUAAUCCUACUUUUACUUUUUUGAAGUACCCUAUGAUGAGAGGACCUGAUCCUGCUGCUGCUCCAUAUAGUACUCAGAAAUCAUCUGUUCUACCUCUUUAUGAAGUAAGUUCUUUCUUACAUCUUUGUGUUCCGAAAUAAUCUGUAGAAUUUAGAAGUGUAAUUUUGUUAUAUUGCAUUCUAGAAUACUUUUCAGGAGCUCCAGGUAAUGAGGCGGAGCCUGAAUUUGUUUAGAACACAAAUGAUGGAUUUAGAAUUGGCAAUGCUGCGUCAGCAAACCAUGGUUUAUCAUCAUAUGACUGAGGAGGAGAGGUUUGAAGUUGAUCAGCUCCAGGGUUUGAGAAAUUCAGUCCGAAUGGAACUUCAGGACCUGGAACUGCAGCUGGAAGAGCGCCUGCUGGGCCUGGAGGAGCAGCUUCGUGCUGUGCGCAUGCCUUCACCCUUCCGCUCCUCCGCACUCAUGGGAAUGUGUGGCAGUAGAAGCGCUGAUAACUUGUCAUGCCCUUCUCCAUUGAAUGUAAUGGAACCAGUCACUGAACUGAUGCAGGAGCAGUCAUACCUGAAGUCUGAAUUGGGCCUGGGACUUGGAGAAAUGGGAUUUGAAAUUCCUCCUGGAGAAAGCUCAGAAUCUGUUUUUUCCCAAGCAACAUCAGAAUCAUCUUCUGUAUGUUCUGGUCCCUCUCAUGCUAACAGAAGAACUGGAGUACCUUCUACUGCCUCAGUGGGCAAAUCCAAAACCCCAUUAGUGGCAAGGAAGAAAGUGUUCCGAGCAUCGGUGGCUCUAACGCCAACAGCUCCUUCUAGAACAGGCUCCGUGCAGACACCUCCAGAUUUGGAAAGUUCUGAGGAAGUUGAUGCAGCUGAAGAAGCCCCAGAAGUUGUAGGACCUAAAUCUGAAGUGGAAGAAGGACAUGGAAAACUCCCAUCAAUGCCAGCUGCUGAGGAAAUGCAUAAAAAUGUGGAGCAAGAUGAGUUGCAGCAAGUCAUACGGGAGAUUAAAGAGUCUAUUGUUGGGGAAAUCAGACGGGAAAUUGUAAGUGGACUUUUGGCAGCAGUAUCUUCAAGUAAAGCGUCUAAUUCUAAGCAAGAUAAUCAUUAAACAGAAAUUAUAGGUUGGCAUGGAUCCUAUUAGCUGUGUAAUACUGGAAUUAUCAAUGAUAUGCACUGGUGGAGGUGUUAUUUGUGCUUUAGAAGAUACUUGCUGUUGAGCUGGGCUACUGUAUACAGUGUACAAUAUGUAUUUCUUCAACCGUAUAUUUUAAAAAGACGUACAUAGAAACUUAGGCACUUUGCUAUUUCUUUUCUAAACUAUCAAAAACUCUAGCAGUUUGAAAAGCCUAAUAUUUAUUUGUAUGUCAAUAUUUUUCAUUUGAUUCCCUAUUAGAAUUAAUUAUAAAACUUGAAGACUUCCAGACUUAUCCAACUUAUAAAUAACAUAUUUCUUCAGACUAACAUCUUAAAACACUGACCUCUAUGAGGUAUUUACUGUGCAAUAACUGAUUCAUUUUUUCAGAGCUUGAAGCAACCAAUGAUUUUUCCCUCCACUGCUGUUAAUUAAUGUCACUUCCAAGAAGAAAAACUGUUCUGUUGUAAAAAAUAUAAUUGCUCUUAAUUCUUGGGGAGGUUACUAAUAGCAGUAGGAUAGAAUUUUAUGAGGUUACCUACAACUACUUAAUGUUCUUACACUGUAAGCCUUGUUGCUUUACCCAAGACAAAUGUAAUUUUAUCAUUGCUUAUGUAGUAUUUUUCUUUUGGAAAUGUGCCUUAUGUUAAACACUAUGUACUUUUACUUUUUGCAUUGUCCAGACUUCUUUAUUAGAUGGAGAUGUUUCUUUUUCUGUCUUCUAGACUAAAUAGAGUAUCAUCCAAAUAAUGGGGCCUAUGACUUGAAUGAAUAGAAAUGAAUAAGCUGGUGUUUGUUUAUUCAAAAUGGAAGUAAUUUAGAUUUGUUCUCCUCAUACAUAAAAUGAUUUUAGUUCAGUUUUAACCAGUGAAAACUUUGUUUUUAUGAAAAAAAAGGAAAAUGGUUUCCCAUUUGGUUUUAUAUGUGUUAAAUAAAUGUGUAAAGUAACCACCAAAUGUUAUUAGAAUUUUUCUUCUAGGAUUUAUAAUUUUUUCAACUCCUAUUGUGUUUCUUUGUGUGUGAUAUUUUAAUCAAAAGUGGUUGAGUUGUUAACAGUGUUCUUUGAAAGAAUCUCUAAAAGGCUUAUAAAUGUUUGAAAUAUCACACAAAGGCUGAUUUCUAAAAUAUAUGUAUAUUAAAACAAUAAAGUAUUUAUUUUGCCUAAA
rnacentral:sRNA from 1 species